GAUGAACGCUGGCGGCGUGCCUAAUACAUGCAAGUCGAGCGAACAUCAGAGAAGCUUGCUUCUCUGAUGUUAGCGGCGGACGGGUGAGUAACACGUGGGUAACCUACCUAUAAGACUGGGAUAACUCCGGGAAACCGGGGCUAAUACCGGAUAAUAUUUUGAACCGCAUGGUUCGAUAGUGAAAGACGGUUUCGGCUGUCACUUAUAGAUGGACCCGCGCCGUAUUAGCUAGUUGGUAAGGUAACGGCUUACCAAGGCGACGAUACGUAGCCGACCUGAGAGGGUGAUCGGGCACACUGGAACUGAGACACGGUCCAGAGUCCUACGGGAGGCAGCAGUAGGGAAUCUUCCGAAAUGGGCGAAAGCCUGACGGAGCAACGCCGCGUGAGUGAUGAAGGUCUUCGGAUCGUAAAACUCUGUUGUUAGGGAAGAACAAAUUUGUUAGUAACUGAACAAGUCUUGACGGUACCUAACCAGAAAGCCACGGCUAACUACGUGCCAGCCGCCGCCGUAA
rnacentral:rRNA from 1 species